rnacentral:rRNA from 1 species
GGGAGCUCUCCCAUAUGGUCGACCUGCAGGCGGCCGCGAAUUCACUAGUGAUUCGUAUUACCGCGGCUGCUGGCACAGAGUUAGCCGGUGCUUAUUCUGUCGGUAACGUCAAAACAGCAAAGUAUUAAUUUACUGCCCUUCCUCCCAACUUAAAGUGCUUUACAAUCCGAAGACCUUCUUCACACACGCGGCAUGGCUGGAUCAGGCUUUCGCCCAUUGUCCAAUAUUCCCCACUGCUGCCUCCCGUAGGAGUCUGGACCGUGUCUCAGUUCCAGUGUGACUGAUCAUCCUCUCAGACCAGUUACGGAUCGUCGCCUUGGUGAGCCAUUACCCCACCAACUAGCUAAUCCGACCUAGGCUCAUCUGAUAGCGCAAGGCCCGAAGGUCCCCUGCUUUCUCCCGUAGGACGUAUGCGGUAUUAGCGUCCGUUUCCGAACGUUAUCCCCCACUACCAGGCAGAUUCCUAGGCAUUACUCACCCGUCCGCCGCUCUCAAGAGAAGCAAGCUUCUCUCUACCGCUCGACUUGCAUGUGUUAGGCCUGCCGCCAGCGUUCAAUCUGAGCCAUGAUCAAACUCUAAUCGAAUUCCCGCGGCCGCC